GAAUUCCCAGGAUUUGGGGGUUAUCAGGUUCAGAAUUCCCAGGAUUUGGGGUCUAGGGGCCGGAAUUCCCGGGAAUUGCCUGCUUUUGCAGGAGUACAUCGUGAACAGGAACAGGAAGAUCGAGAAGCGGCGCCAGGAGCUGACGGAGAAGGAGGGGAGCAAACAGCGGCCGGACCCCUUCAAGGGGAUCGGCCAGGAGCACUUUUUCCAGCGGAUCGAGGCCGCGCACUGCCUGGCCUGUGACAUGCUGAUCCGGCGCAGGCGGCGCUGCUGCAGCGGCACCUCCGCUCCGCCGAGCACGGCCGCAACCGCCGGCUGGCGGCCGAGCAGUUCCGGAAGACGAGCCUGCACGUGGCCAAGAGCGUCCUGAACAACAAACACAUCGUGCGCAUGCUCGAGAGAUACCUGCAGCGGCCGGAAUUCGGGGCUGGGCCGGGAAUUCCGGGAUUUUCCGGGCAGGAUCCGCAUCCAGGGCGGAGCAGGAGGAACGGAAGCGCCUCCGGAGCCUUCCCGGGAAUGCGGCGGGAGAAGCUCCAGAUCCCAACAAUUCCUUCCCCUUCCCGGAGCUGGAAAAACUCGGGAGAAGUGGGGGAAAAAUGGGAAAAAAAUGGGAAAAACGGCGACUCUGCCUGCUGGGUGCUGGGCAAAGGGAUUUGGAUCCCAAAAUCUGGGAUUUAGAUCCCAAAAAACAGGAUUUGGAUCCCAAAAAAACGGGGUUUGGAUCCUGAAAAAAAAGGGGAUUUGGAUCCCGGGAGAAGAAGGGACGUUGGAUCCCAAAAAAACGGGAUUUGGAUCCCGAAAACCGGGAUUUGGAUCCCAAAAAUCCGGGAUUUGGAUGCCAGCAAAGGGGGACUUUGGAUGCCGGGAAGAGACCCCGAAUGCUGGGAAAAGGGAUUUGGAUCCCGGGAAGACGGACCUGGAGUCCUGGGAAAAGGAGGGGCCUGGAUCCCGAAAAACGGAGCUGGAUCCUGGGAAAAGGGACCCUGAUCCCGAAAAAAGGAGCUGGAUCCCAGGAAAAGGAGCUGGAUCCUGGGAAAAGGGAUCUUGGAUCCCGGGAAAAACGGACGUUGAGUCCAGGGAAAAAUGGGAUUUGGAUCCCGGGAAAAAGGGACUCUGGAUCCCGGGAAAAAUGGGAUUUGGAUCCUGAAAAAAGGGAUUUGGAUCCCGAAAAAAGGCACCUGGAAUCCUGGGAGAAGGAGGGACCUGGAGUCCCGGGAAGAGGGAUCUUGGAUCCCGGGAAAAAUGGGACUCUGGAUCCCGGGAAAAACGGACGUUGAGUCCAGGGAAGAAAGGGAUUUGGAUCCCGGGAAAAAUGGGAUUUGGUUCCCGAAAAAAGCCACCUGGAAUCCCAGGAGAAGGAGGGACCUGGAGUCCCGGGAAGAGGGAUCUUGGAUCCCGGGAAAAUGGGAUUUGGAUCCCAAGAAGAGGGACGUUGGAUCCCGAAAAAAAGGGACUCUGGAUCCUGGGAAGAGGGAGCUUGGAUCCUGGGAAAAAUGGACGUUGAGUCCAGGGAAAAAAGGGACUUGGAUCCCGAAAAAAGGGACUCUGGAUCCCGGGAAAAAAGGGACUUUGGAUCCUGGGAAGAGGGAGCUUGGAUCCCGGGAAAAAUGGACGUUGAGUCCAGGGAAAAAAGGGACUUGGAUCCCGAAAAAAGGGACUCUGGAUCCCGGGAAAAAAGGGACUUUGGAUCCUGGGAAGAGGGAGCUUGGAUCCCGGGAAAAAUGGACGUUGAGUCCAGGGAAAAAAGGGACUUGGAUCCCGAAAAAAGGGACUCUGGAUCCCGGGAAAAAAGGGACUUUGGAUCCCAAAAAAAGGGAGCUUGGAUCCCGGGAAAAAUGGACGUUGAGUCCAGGGAAAAAAGGGACUUGGAUCCCGAAAAAAGGGACUCUGGAUCCCGGGAAAAAAGGGACUUUGGAUCCCAAAAAAAGGGAGCUUGGAUCCCGGGAAAAAGGGACUUUGGAUCCCGGGAAGAGGGACUCUGGAUCCCAAAAAAAGGGAGCUUGGAUCCCGGGCAAAAUGGGAUUUGGAUCCCAAGAAGAGGGACUCUGGAUCCCGGGGAAAAAGGGGCCGUUGGAUCCCGGGAAGAGGGACAUUGGAUCCCGAAAAAAGCCACCUGGAGUCCCGGGAAGAGGGAGCUUGGAUCCCGGGAGAAGGAGGGACCUGGAUCCCGGGAAGACGGACCUGAGGUCUGGGGAAAAGGGCCCGGACGCGGAGGCGGCUCCGGAGCGUUCCCAUUCCCAGGUGUGCAAUUCCCGGCUGGAAAAAGGGCGGGAGGCGGCCGAGCCGAGGAUUCCAGGGAGAAGAUCCCUUCACGGACGAGCCCCCGGAGCAGGACGGGGAUGAGGCCCCGCCGGAAUCCGGGGAAGGAGCAGCAGCAGCAGCGCAGGAAUCCCGGGAAUCCCCGGAAUCCCAGGAAUCCCCGGAAUGCCGGGAAAAGGCGGAAAAUUCCGAGGAGUUCCCCAAAGCCGAGGAAUUCCUGAAAUCCCUGGCGGAGCCGGAGCAGCCCCCGAGGCCCCUCCUGAUGCCGCCCUUCCUGCAGGACGACGACGAGGACGAGGAGGAGCCCCAAAAUCCUGAGAAUCCGCCCCAAAAUCCCGGGAAUCCGCCUCAAAAUCCAUCGGGAAAUCCGCCCGGAAACUCGCAGGAAUCCGGGAUUUUCCCCCAAAACGAAACUGAGGGAGGGGCGGGAAAAGAGGAGGAGGAGGAGGAGGAGGGGAAAAAGCAGGAAAAGGAGGAGGAAAAGGAGGGAAAAAAGCAGGAAAAGGAGGAGGAAAAGCAGGAAAAGGAGGAGGAAAAGGAGGAGGAAAAGCAGGAAAAAGAGGAGGAAAAGGAGGAGGAAAAAAAGCAGGAAAAGGACUCGGAAGAGCCGUGAGGAUUCCCAGGAAAGGGUGAAGAAGCUGAGGAGCCGGAAUUCCCAAGUUUUCCAUCCCUCAGGAAUUCUCCGCCAGGAUUUUGGGGGAGGGGGAUUUGAGGAAGAAAAAGCCCCCAAAAGAUGGGAAAAACCCCCCAAAAUCUUGGGAAGUUUGGAGAAAUCCCAAUAAAGGCAGCGAGCGGAUCCCAA